UACGUAGGGGGCAAGCGUUGUCCGGAAUCAUUGGGCGUAAAGCGCGCGUAGGCGGCUUGGCAAGUCGGAUGUGAAAUCCCUCGGCUCAACCAAGGAAGUGCAUCCGAAACUGCUGAGCUUGAGUACUUAAGAGGAUCGCGGAAUUCCCGGUGUAGAGGUGAAAUUCGUAGAUAUCGGGAGGAACACCGGUGGCGAAGGCGGCGACCUGGGUAGAUACUGACGCUGAGGUGCGAAAGCGUGGGGAGCAAACAGG
rnacentral:rRNA from 1 species